rnacentral:rRNA from 1 species
CCCUUAGAUGUUCUGGGCUGCACGCGCGCUACACUGAAGCGUUCAACGAGUAUUCACCUUGCCCGGGAGGGUUGGGUAAUCUUUUGAAAACGCUUCGUGAUGGGGAUAGAUUAUUGCAAUUAUUAAUCUUCAACGAGGAAUUCCUAGUAAGCGCGAGUCAUCAGCUCGUGCUGAUUACGUCCCUGCCCUUUGUACACACCGCCCGUCGCACCUACCGAUUGAAUGGUCCGGUGAAGCCUCGGGAUUGCGAAUGCUUCGUGCGGACGCGAGAACUUGGCUAAACCUUACCAUUUAGAGGAAGGUGAAGUCGUAACA